rnacentral:misc_RNA from 1 species
AACGCACAUUGCGCCCUUUGGUAUUCCGAAGGGCAUGCCUGUUCGAGCGUCAUGAUCAACCCUUAAGCUUUGGCUUAUUAUUGAGUUUUAUAACUACAUUAGUUAUAAACUUGAAAGAUAUUGGCAGAGUCGAUUAGACCGGAGAAUGCAACGAGCUUUUUACCAAAGCAAGCAUUAUCUAGUUCAAACGAGUCUCGUCUUUUUAUAUUUUCACAAGGUUGACCUCGGAUCAGGUAGGAAUACCCGCUGAACUUAA